rnacentral:rRNA from 1 species
ACGGGAGGCAGCAGUGGGGAAUAUUGGGCAAUGGGCGAAAGCCUGACCCAGCAACGCCGCGUGAAGGAAGAAGGCCUUCGGGUUGUAAACUUCUUUUACCAGGGACGAAGGACGUGACGGUACCUGGAGAAAAAGCAACGGCUAACUACGUGCCAGCAGCCGCGGUAAUACGUAGGUUGCAAGCGUUGUCCGGAUUUACUGGGUGUAAAGGGCGUGUAGGCGGAGCUGCAAGUCAGAUGUGAAAUCCAUGGGCUCAACCCAUGAACUGCAUUUGAAACUGUUUUUCUUGAGUGCUGGAGAGGUAGACGGAAUUCCUUGUGUAGCGGUGAAAUGCGUAGAUAUAAGGAAGAACACCAGUGGCGAAGGCGGUCUACUGGACAGUAACUGACGCUGAGGCGCGAAAGCGUGGGGAGCAAACAGGAUUAGAUACCCUGGUA